CAGCAGCAGCGCCGGUAUUCCAAAUCCGUUUAAGCAACGACUCGGCGGCACUGGCAGAUCGGCGAAGUUCACCAAUACUGAGCGUUACUGGCUUGCGGCAUCUCCCCCAAGUGCCGCGCCAGCCAAGGUACCGUGGACUGUGUACCUUGAUUUACUCCUAAUGGUCUUAACCCGGAUUCACUCCCCCAGAAUCCGG
rnacentral:sRNA from 1 species